rnacentral:rRNA from 1 species
CAGUCGCCGCGGUAGUACGUAGGUCCCGAGCGUUGUCCGGAUUUAUUGGGCGUAAAGCGAGCGCAGGCGGUUAGAUAAGUCUGAAGUUAAAGGCUGUGGCUUAACCAUAGUACGCUUUGGAAACUGUUUAACUUGAGUGCAAGAGGGGAGAGUGGAAUUCCAUGUGUAGCGGUGAAAUACGUAGAUAUAUGGAGGAACACCGGUGGCGAAAGCGGCUCUCUGGCUUGUAACUGACGCUGAGGCUCGAAAGCGUGGGGAGCAAACAGGAUUAGAUACCCCUGUAGUCCCUGUCUCUUAUACA